GGGGUAUUGAGUUAUUGUAAGGGGUAUUGAGUUAGGUAGGGGGUAUAGGAGUUAUUGUAAGGGGUAUUGAGUUAUUGUAAGGGGUAUUGAGUUAGGUAGGGGGUAUAGGAGUUAUUGUAAGGGGGUAUAAGAGUUAUUGUAAGGGGUAUUGAGUUAGGUAGGGGGUAUAGGAGUUAUUGUAAGGGGGUAUAAGAGUUAUUGUAAGGGGGUAUUGAGUUAGUUAGGGGGUAUAGGAGUUAUUGUAAGGGGUAUUGAGUUAGGUAGGGGGUAUAGGAGUUAUUGUAAGGGGGUAUUGAGUUAUUGUAA
rnacentral:lncRNA from 1 species